CUCUCAAUCGAGGUUUUUUUUCGAGUUGCACAGUUAUGUUGUUUAUUGGUGGUCCACUGCUAACUCCGUAGGAGGUUUGUCCUUCUUUUUAAAUGUGGUCUUCUUUCAAAUAACACUUGCUGGUGACCAAACUGAUAUCUACAUUUAAAAUUUUUCCUUCUUUAAAGAAUAAGUUGUUAACUUAUAAGUUGCAGUGCUACAGUAUUAUUUAGUAAACCAGCAACUAACUCAUUCUUAUGAGAUUUUUCUUUCUUUUAAUAAAAGGCAGAUCUUUCAAUCUAAUUGAUCUAACAUCUAUUCAGUCCAGUGAUUAAUCGCCUCAUGUCAAUUGAGCCUAAUCUCCCAGCAUCAUCAUUUUCGCACUGAGUCUACUUCUCAGCUUCUACACGUCCGCCCUUAUUGACUGAAAGCAUUAUAUGUUAACAUGUUGCUUUUUGUAAACCACGUGACCGCGUAGCCCUUAAGUCAAGGAACACUCCUUAGGGAUAACUUGAUCGGCUUUCUCUUCUUUUUGAUGUUCCAACCACCUUGUACUGUUAUAACAGAAAUCAAAACAAACCUCAUUUUUGUAUCAGAGGAUUUCCUACCUAUCAAACAUACGCUGUUUUUUGCAGAUAUGCUAUUAUUCAGAUAUCAGAUAUCAGCCCUUCUUCUCAACAAAGGCUGUUCUUUGAUAAAUAUUAUGCGUUAUGCUGAUUUUAGAAUAACAACUGCUGAAUUAAUAUUAUCGGAGAAUUUUCCUUCUUUCAUACAUAAGCCGUUCUUUCGAAGUAUACCCUUACAAAAAUUUAAUUGUUGAUAUGAGACAUUCCAUACUUUCAUUUGUUGUUUUGACUUUUGAAUCUUAGUCUCUCGAUCAGUUAAUUUUUUGUAUCAUAAUAACGAUUUUCCGCAAAACAAUUUUCCGAAAUGUUCCACCGCGAAUAAGAAUUCCGCAUAUUGAUUUUCGGCGAAAUGUUACACAAUCGAUAUUUUCCCUUCUUUCACACCUAGGCUGUUCUUCCGAGUUAUCUUUCAAAAUAGUUGUCGGCAUUAACCUGUCCAUGUUUUCAUUGAAUAAUGUCCCUUCUUUGAAACAUAGGCUGUUUUUUCUAGUUACACAGUUAGAAUAGUUGUUGGCAUUAAGCUAGCAAUAUUGCCCGUGUAGCUGCCGGCUUAGAAUAGCACUACGGACCACCUGUUCCGGGGGUAAAAGUCCACCAAACAGGUAACCCCAAUCCAAGGUGUCAGGCGACCCGUGCUGAGGGAUGAAUGGUUGAGGGGGUUUAAAAGAUGCUCGAUCUUUAACGGAGCCCGUAGCGUGGGUAGAUCGCCUUUUUGGGUUGCGUUGCGGUGAUAGAUCUACCAAACCGAAAUCUAGUGUCGUCCUAUUUUUCAAUUUUGGAAUAUGUGUUCUGGUUAUUCAAGGAAUUAUAGUAUUUAGUCCUUACUACUGGUGUUUUGGUGACUUCCAGUUUUUGAAUAAAACUGAGUUUACCAACUUUACUUUGCAUAUAGUUAAAAACCUCACCAUCUGAGGCUAAACUCAAUGCAAAGGAAAUCAAAUUGGGUUAGGGAUCCAUGUAUGUACUAACUCUUCGAAGACUGGAAAGUGCUAGUACGCAAGGAACAUACUAGAAUCCUUAUUACUGAACACAUGUUCCAUUAUUGGAAUGAUAUUGCUGCUAAUGUUAAAACCCGGGUCCUAAACUUCCUACUGGGGAGAAUUUAGCAGUAAAACAAGGGUGAUGCUAGGUUUCCGAUGCAUGGCCAAUAUCA